UACGUAGGGUGCAAGCGUUGUCCGGAAUUAUUGGGCGUAAAGAGCUCGUAGGCGGUUUGUCGCGUCUGCUGUGAAAACCCGAGGCUCAACCUCGGGCCUGCAGUGGGUACGGGCAGACUAGAGUGCGGUAGGGGAGAUUGGAAUUCCUGGUGUAGCGGUGGAAUGCGCAGAUAUCAGGAGGGACACCAAUGGCGAAGGCAGAUCUCUGGGCCGUAACUGACGCUGAGGAGCGAAAGCAUGGGGAGCGAACAGG
rnacentral:rRNA from 1 species